GUGUCAGCAGCCGCGGUAAUACGUAGGGUCCAAGCGUUAUCCGGAAUCACUGGGCGUAAAGCGUGCGUAGGUGGCGUGUUAAGUGAAAUGUUAAAUCGUGUGGCUCAACCAUAUCGAUGCAUCUCAUACUGGCAUGCUAGAGGACAGCAGAGGCAAGUGGAAUUACGAGUGUAGCAGUGAAAUGCGUAGAUAUUCGUAGGAACACCAAUGGCGAAGGCAGCUUGCUGGGCUACUCCUGACACUGAGGUACGAAAGCGUGGGGAGCGAACAGGAUUAGAUACCCUUGUAGUCC
rnacentral:rRNA from 1 species